CAACUACUCUCUCCAUCCAGAAAUAUUUGUCAGAGAAAUAGAUGUAUCUAGGCAUAUUUUAGUUCUAGAUACAUCCCUUUUUAUGUAUUUUUACGACAAGUAUUUUCGGAAGGAGGAAGUACUUA
rfam:Triticum aestivum genome assembly, contig: Triticum_aestivum_CS42_TGACv1_scaffold_516913_6BS